CACUCAGCAGCCAAACAGAGUCAUGGAUGGGUUUACAUCGUACUUCGCUCUCCUGUCGGCGUUCCUACUUUAUGAUGCUCAACCAGCAGCUCCAACAGGCUGUGCAGGUCCACCCGUGCUGUGUUGCUCUGGUAAAAACAACUCCUGCUCCAGACAAUGUUACUGUGAUGAGGCCUGCUUGAAAUUUGGCGACUGCUGUGAUGACUACAUUUCAACCUGCAC